UCUAUAUCAAAUCUAGGUUUAUAGAGUCAGUUGCAUUACCAGGUGGAACUAAGCUACAUGAAUCUGCCAAUCCUGCCCAAAUGGGCUACAGCUUCUCUUAAGCAUAAAGAGCCGCUUUUCAACGGCUACUUGUCUUUGCGAGAAACUUCUACUAGCGGAGGAGGUCUUUCUACUGUAGCGUCAUCAAACAAAUAUGUCUUAUUUAUUUUUUUUGUUAAAAAACAUCUUUUACCAAAAAUACUUCCUUCCCCCUUUCUCCCUUUCGGAA
rnacentral:lncRNA from 1 species